rnacentral:rRNA from 1 species
UACGUAGGGUGCAAGCGUUAAUCGGAAUUACUGGGCGUAAAGCGUGCGCAGGCGGUUAUGUAAGACAGGUGUGAAAUCCCAGGGCUUAACCUUGGAACUGCAUUUGUGACUGCAUAGCUAGAGUACGGUAGAGGGGGAUGGAAUUCCGCGUGUAGCAGUGAAAUGCGUAGAUAUGCGGAGGAACACCGAUGGCGAAGGCAAUCCCCUGGACCUGUACUGACGCUCAUGCACGAAAGCGUGGGGAGCAAACAGGAU